rnacentral:rRNA from 1 species
AUUGAACGCUGGCGGCAUGCUUUACACAUGCAAGUCGAACGGCAGCACGGGUGCUUGCACCUGGUGGCGAGUGGCGAACGGGUGAGUAAUGCAUCGGAACGUAUCCAAGAGUGGGGGAUAACGCAUCGAAAGGUGUGCUAAUACCGCAUACGCCCUGAGGGGGAAAGUGGGGGACCGUAAGGCCUCACGCUGAUGGAGCGGCCGAUGUCAGAUUAGCUAGUUGGUGAGGUAAAGGCUCACCAAGGCGACGAUCUGUAGCUGGUCUGAGAGGAUGAUCAGCAAAACUGGGACUGAGACACGGCCCAGACUCCUACGGGAGGCAGCAGUGGGGAAUUUUGGACAAUGGGGGCAACCCUGAUCCAGCCAUGCCGCGUGAGUGAAGAAGGCCUUCGGGUUGUAAAGCUCUUUCGCAAGGGAAGAAAACUUAGUUCUUAAUACGAGCUGAGGAUGACGGUACCUUGAUAAGAAGCACCGGCUAACUACGUGCCAGCCGCCGCAGUAAGAC